GCCCUCUUCCGAGUUCUUUUUGUGGUAAGGAGCACAAAACUGAACCCGAUAUUGCAAAAGUGGCCUAUAUAAUAAAAUUAUAACCUGUUUACACUUGUAUUCAAUAUUUCUGAAGAUACAACCUAAAAUCAUAUUUUCCCCGCCACUAGCAACAACACACUGCGUGGAUGGAUUAAGAGACUGAUCAACCAGAACACCAAGAUCCUCUUUUCACGUUAAAAUUAUACUUUUAAUUCCAAUUGUGAUAUCCCACAUGCAUUACCUUGCAUUUAUUCUAGAUAAUGUCAACUGCCAUUUUUUCACAUAACUCACCAAAUAAUCCAAAUAAUUUUGUAAAGUAGUAGUAGUAUCCUUCAGCCAGCAAAUUUAACAAGAGUUUGUGUAGUAUCUUGUCGUAUGCUUUCUGAGUAUCCAUAUGCACCAAAUUCACAUCCAUACUCUCAUCUAUGUAGGCAAUAACCUCUUAAAAGAAUACUUAGAAAUUAAUAAGGCAAGAUUAUCUCUCGAGGAAAUAAAGCCGGCUAUCCAACAACAUUUCAAACUUUGUUAAAUGACUUUGCAAAGUAUGUUUUAUCAGACCUUAAAUAUGUCCUAUCACUGAUGUAAGACUAAAAGGUCUAUAAAUAGUGGAACAAAUUUAAAACAUGCUUUGAAAAGAGGAGUAACAUUAGCCAAUUUCCAGGAUUCUGCCACCUGCCCUCUAUUCAAGGACAUAGAAAAUAUAAUAGCAAGGGAUUCGUUUAUCCAACCCUUAACAUGUAGAUACCUUCGGUUUUCGGGUUCUGCUUUGGGAUUUGAUCCAUGUUUGGACCAGGGUGGGUCAGGUUCAGCAUUGACAUCUUCCUACCUAUUAGAAGUUGAUGUUAUUCUAUUUGAACUGAGACUGAUUCCUAGGUAAUAUUCCCGUUACUAUGUUAUUUUACUCGCGGUGUAUUAAAUAUUGUUCGUUGUCCACAGUUUUUUUAUUUAACGUACCUUUUGUAGGCCAUGUCUAUUUCAUGUGGUUAUAUGUGGUCUGUUUAUACACACACACACACACACGAUAUAUUGUAUGUAUCGUUACCUAAAUUCACAAUCACGGAGUAAAUAAUUUAACUAUUAAGUAAAAUAUAGUAAAAACUUGAUUUAGAGUUGGAGCAUGAAAUUAAAUGAAUAUCUUCUAUAAUAGGAUGGUAGGUACAUUUAUUGAUAUUUCACUAAAUAGAAAAGUCAGAAUUCUAAGAAUGUAAAUUGGUCCUUGCAAUUAUUUUUAUUUGUAGAUUGUGUCUAUAUAAUGAGAACAGUGUAGUCUGUAGUGUAGAUACUUUGUGAUAGUAUAACAACAAAGUUAUUAUUAACAUUGUAGUACGUGUACACCUAUUUUAAACAAAUUUUAAGUCAUGUAAGACUAGAAUAAUUCAAGCAUCGUGCCAUUUUUCUAAACUUAAUUUCUAUUUUCUUAGCUUUAAAUAUUCUUAAAAUAUUGCAUUAUGAAAGUUUCAGUUAUGCCAAAUUUGUACAUGAUGUUAUCAAUUUACCUACAUUGUUUGACUAUUGUGAAAAAACAUUUUGAACUGAUAUGAGCAUAGGCUAGUGACAGUUAUGGAAGUAAUUCUUUUUGAUUUUCUUGUGAUAAGAACCUUGUUUUUAUUUAUCUCAGCUUCUUGAGGAAACAAUGCAAUGUUAACUCCGGGCAUGGUCCAUUUCAUUUCUGUACUCUGCACCGUAAGGGUAAUGGUGUCCCACAAGAAGUAACAAGAAGAUGCCCUUUCAAAGCUUAAGACCUUUGAGAGUGUCCCACUACCUUAUGAUGAGUGGAAGAAGGUUGUAAUUCCAUUAGUUUUGUGUGUGAUGAGGUUGCAACCUGGAAGAAAGUAAACAGCAUGGUUCAGGGUUCAUCUUCACUAUUCUUAGGUAGUUACUUCAAAAAAUGGACAUGUUAAAAAAUAAAGCUAGAGAGCUGAGGGAAAAAAACUCUGUGAAGAAGAAAUGAAAUUUCUUUUAAAUGUGUUCUCGUCUGAUGAAGAAGGCAUUCUGUUAGAGGAGUCUGAUGUUGAUGAACUUUCAGCUAAUGUGUCAAUGGCUCUGACAGAAUCUCAAUAAAACCAGAUGGCAACAGAAUCUAGAGCCAGCUCUUCUUGAUUCUGUCUUAUGGAAAUAGUUGGUGAAAGAUCAUCAGAUGAGGAUGU
rnacentral:lncRNA from 1 species